UGGGGAAUAUUGCACAAUGGGCGCAAGCCUGAUGCAGCCAUGCCGCGUGUGUGAAGAAGGCCUCGGUUGUAAAGCACUUCAGCGAGGAGGAAGGUGGUGAACUUAAUACGUUCAUCAAUUGACGUUACUCGCAGAAGAAGCACCGGCUAACUCCGUGCCAGCAGCCGCGGUAAUACGGAGGGUGCAAGCGUUAAUCGGAAUUACUGGGCGUAAAGCGCACGCAGGCGGUUUGUUAAGUCAGAUGUGAAAUCCCCGGGCUCACUGGGAACUGCAUUGAAACUGGACAAGCUAGAGUCUCGUAGAGGGGGUAGAAUUCCAGGUGGUAGCGGUGAAAUGCGUAGAGAUCUGGAAGGAAUAUCGGUGGCGAAGGCGGCCCCCAUGGAC
rnacentral:rRNA from 1 species